GCGGGCGUAGUUCAGUGGCAGAACAUCAGCUUCCCAAGCUGAGAACGCGGGUUCGAUUCCCGUCGCCCGCU
rnacentral:tRNA from 1 species